GAUGAAGAACGCAGCGAAAUGCGAUAAGUAGUGUGAAUUGCGGAAUUCAGUGAAUCAUCGAAUCUUUGAACGCACAUUGCGCCCCUUGGUAUCCCGAGGGGCAUGCCUGUUCGAGCGUCAUUUCACCACUCAAGCCUGGCUUGGUGUUGGGCGACGUCCUCUUUGGGGACGCGCCUCGAAACGCUCGGCGGCGUGGCACCGGCUUUAAGCGUAGCAGAAUCUUUCGCUUUGGAAGUCGGGGCCCCGUCUGCCGGAAGACCUGCUCGCAAGGUUGACCUCGGAUCAGGCAGGGAUACCCGCUGAACUUAAGCAUAUCAAUAAGCGGAGGA
rnacentral:misc_RNA from 1 species